UCCAUUUCAUGCAUUAGAAAAGAGCUUGAAAUAGAUUUAUAAUGGUAUGACACAGUAUAUUGAAUUAUGUGUCGUGUAUUGUAUAUAGGCAGUGAGCCCUCUAACAAGGGUAAAGACGUUGUAUCAGAGCACUAAGAAUAGGAGUAUUUCAAACUCCUGAUACUGUGAGUAACCUUACUAUCGUCUUAAUUAUCUAAAGUGGUUUUUAUCCGAUUUUGUGAUUUUAUGGAAAAUGAGUUUAAAUGGCAAAUCUUUAUGUUUUAUGAGCAAAAUGUGAUUAAAUGAAAUGAUUGUAUAAAAUUUUCUUGAAAUUGAAUGAUGGUUUUGGAAAAUGGAGUAAUUGGAGACUAAUUGCUGUGUUAUAAAUCAUGGUUUGAAUUGAAUGGCUUAUGAUAAUAUUGGCAUGAAUGGUUGAUUUGGUAAAUGUGUUGAAAAUGUAUGAACUGUUAAUUUACCUUGAGAGGCUGUAAAAUAAAAUAAUUGCCAUGUCAUGCUAUCGCAAAUUUUAUUAAAUUGGUAGGUUAUAAAUUUGUCGCUGCAGUGAACGGGUUCCAUGGACCAGCGUAUUAGAGGGGCAUGGUAACCGUAUUAUAUUCAUACCUUAGUAUGAGAGGUGCAGAUGGAUAACUCUUGAGGUUAACACUUUAGAGUUCACUUCACGCCAAACUACCACGUGAGGGUGAACUCAGCCAACGCCAAGGAAUGGUUAUGUUUUCAAAAUAAAAACAUGAUUUAUGUGUACAUAACUUUUUAACAGCCUUGGUGGACUUGGUUGGGAUAGCCCUCAAUCAAGGUAUCCCUAAUAACUGAGUAUGAGAAUGAUUUUGGCACGAGCCAAAGUUUUAAGAAAUUCAUAAGCCAUGUUGAUUACUCAAUUUAUAUGAAUUGAUUUUAUUUGGUUGAAAUGAGUUGAAAGGUGAUGAAUUACAAUAUGUUAAACUAUUUUAUUUGUUUCCAUUUACUCAACUUUAAAUAUUUUAGAUGGUAUUUGUUUACUUACUGAGAUUAUAUAAUCUCACCACCCUCAUUUCCACCCAUUUCAAGCUCAGGAUAGUCGGUAGAUAGCUCAUUUCGUUGAGAGCUAUAGUUGGAUUUGCAUCUUCCAAACUGUAGGUUCACAGUCUUCCUUACUUUUAGUUAUUCGGGGGCCUACUAGUUAUUGUAAAUUAAAUUAAAUACUCUAGCUUACUGUGUUACAAUAUGUAUGAAUUUAUUUUGCUUUUACGCUGCAAAAAUUAUUUACGUAUAACUCUAAAAAUAUUGUUUUAUAG
rnacentral:lncRNA from 1 species